GAUGACGAGCUGAGUUGCUGAGAGAGUAAGUCUGUGGAGCUGCAGGCCCCAUGUUAAAUAAUAAGGGAGGCUUUUGAUUUCAGUCAAAGAGGAAUCUUGUGUUAGGAUGGCAUGAGUUGUGUCGGUUAUGGAAACUAGAUGGAUGGUAUGUCAUAAGUGAUGUGGCUUGGUAAGAAAAUAAGGUUGUGAGAACCCUUGGUUUUGUCGGCAGGUUGGUGAGGUGGCAUGUAAGUUGGACUUG
rnacentral:lncRNA from 1 species